GGUAGAGCACUGUUAAGGCUAGGGGGUCAUCACGACUUACCAACCCUUUGCAAACUCCGAAUACCAGUAAGUACUAUCCGGGAGACACACGGCGGGUGCUAACGUCCGUCGUGGAGAGGGAAACAACCCAGACCGCCAGCUAAGGUCCCAAAGUAUAGCUAAGUGGGAAACGAUGUGGGAAGACUCAGACAGCCAGGAUGUUGGCUUAGAAGCAGCCAUCAUUUAAAGAAAGCGUAAUAGCUCACUGGUCGAGUCGGCCUGCGCGGAAGAUGUAACGGGGCUAAGCUAUACACCGAAGCUGCGGCUA
rnacentral:rRNA from 1 species